rnacentral:rRNA from 1 species
GAUGAGCGCUGGCGGCGUGCCUAAUACAUGCAAGUCGAGCGAACGGACGAGAAGCUUGCUUCUCUGAUGUUAGCGGCGGACGGGUGAGUAACACGUGGAUAACCUACCUAUAAGACUGGGAUAACUUCGGGAAACCGGAGCUAAUACCGGAUAAUAUUUUGAACCGCAUGGUUCAAAAGUGAAAGACGGUCUUGCUGUCACUUAUAGAUGGAUCCGCGCUGCAUUAGCUAGUUGGUAAGGUAACGGCUUACCAAGGCAACGAUGCAUAGCCGACCCGAGAGGGUGAUCGGCCACACUGGAACUGAGACACGGUCCAGACUCCUACGGGAGGCAGCAGUAGGGAAUCUUCCGCAAUGGGCGAAAGCCUGACGGAGCAACGCCGCGUGAGUGAUGAAGGUCUUCGGAUCGUAAAACUCUGUUAUUAGGGAAGAACAUAUGUGUAAGUAACUGUGCACAUCUUGACGGUACCUAAUCAGAAAGCCACGGCUAACUACGUG